CCCUAAUCUGUUAGAUUUCACUGUUGUUUUGAAGGUCAGAACUUGCAGGUUGCUCCGGCUGUGGAGAAUGCAGCUGCCACCGCACUACCGGCGGUGCUCCACCGUGUCUGCCUGGCGGCGGAGAGGUCAGGCCGCCGUGCCGAUGGCGUGAGAGUGGUGGCGGUAGGCAAGACGAGCCUGUCUCUCUCAUCCGCCAGGUAUACGAUGCUGGACACAACUGUUUCUGCGAAAAAUAUGUUCAAGAGAUUAUCCAAAAGAGUCCUGAGCUCCAUGAGGACGUUGAGUGGCAUUUUGCUGGGCAUUUGCAGAGCAAUAAAGUAAAAUCACUGCUGAGUAUGAUGCUAUGAUCUACUUCAGAUAACCCGAGAAUUAGCACUUAGUAGUGCUUCUAUUUUAAUCCUUUAAAAAUUAUCUUCCAUGAUAAGUGAAGCCGCCCUAGCAAGAAUCGUGUAAUCCACCCUGGAAAUUGUGGUGAUUGUUCCAUUAUGUAUUCUGUGGAUAAUUUGGCAUGAGAGAAAUGUACAGUGUUUUAAGGGAUCUCGACCUGUGUAUAUUGAGAGUCCUUUUGUUCUGGUGUAAAGAGGAGAGUAGCUUUGCUAUUGAAGAACGUAUAUUCCCUAACUUCUAUGCUAACUGGUCUUUUGUAAAGGUUUUGUAAGCACCUACUUGGUGUUUUUGUUUGUUUGUUUGUUUGUUUGUUUGUUUUUGGGUGCAAAUAAUAUUAUUUACUUAUUUAAAAAA